rnacentral:rRNA from 1 species
GCUUAUGGCCAUACCACCCUGAGCACGCCUGAUCUCGUCUGUUCUCGGAAGCUAAGCAGGGUCGAGCCUGGUUAGUACUUGGAUGGGAGACCGCCUGGGAAUACCAGGUGCUGUAAGCU